UGGGGAAUAUUGGACAAUGGGCGAAAGCCUGAUCCAGCAAUGCCGCGUGAGUGAUGAAGGCCUUAGGGUUGUAAAGCUCUUUUACCAGGGAUGAUAAUGACAGUACCUGGAGAAUAAGCUCCGGCUAACUCCGUGCCAGCAGCCGCGGUAAUACGGAGGAGGCAAGCGUUAUCCGGAAUCAUUGGGCGUAAAGCGUUCGCAGGCGGCGAUUCAAGUCUGCUGUCAAAGCCCGCAGCUCAACUGCGGACAGGCAGUGGAAACUGAAUCGCUAGAGUGCGGCAGGGGUAGAGGGAAUUCCCGGUGUAGCGGUGAAAUGCGUAGAUAUCGGGAAGAACACCAGUGGCGAAAGCGCUCUACUGGGCCGCAACUGACGCUCAGGGACGAAAGCUAGGGGAGCGAAAGGGAUUAGAUACCCCCGUAGUCC
rnacentral:rRNA from 1 species